GAAAUGCGAUAAGUAAUGUGAAUUGCAGAAUUCCGUGAAUCAUCGAAUCUUUGAACGCACAUUGCGCCCUCUGGCAUUCCGGGGGGCAUGCCUGUCCGAGCGUCAUUACGCACCCUCAAGCCCGGCUUGUGUGAUGGGCCCCGGCGUCUCGUUCGCGAGACGGGCCCGAAAGGCAGCGGCGGCGUCGACCCGAUGAGCCCGAGCGUAUGGGGACUUCUGUCACACGUUCGCGGUGCGGACAGGCGCCUGCUUGACUUUUCUGAUUAUCCAGGUUGACCUCGGAUCAGGUAGGGAUACCCGCUGAACUUAAGC
rnacentral:misc_RNA from 1 species